UACACUCCUGCGGGAGGCAGCAGUGGGGAAUAUUGCACAAUGGGCGCAAGCCUGAUGCAGCCAUGCCGCGUGUAUGAAGAAGGCCUUCGGGUUGUAAAGUACUUUCAGCGGGGAGGAAGGCGAUAAGGUUAAUAACCUUGUUGAUUGACGUUACCCGCAGAAGAAGCACCGGCUAACUCCGUGCCAGCAGCCGCGGUAAUACGGAGGGUGCAAGCGUUAAUCGGAAUUACUGGGCGUAAAGCGCACGCAGGCGGUCUGUCAAGUCGGAUGUGAAAUCCCCGGGCUCAACCUGGGAACUGCAUUCGAAACUGGCAGGCUAGAGUCUUGUAGAGGGGGGUAGAAUUCCAGGUGUAGCGGUGAAAUGCGUAGAGAUCUGGAGGAAUACCGGUGGCGAAGGCGGCCCCCUGGACAAAGACUGACGCUCAGGUGCGAAAGCGUGGGGAGCAAACAGGAUUAGAUACCCCUGUAGUCCCA
rnacentral:rRNA from 1 species